AGAGCACAGUCGCAACUGAGUUCUUUGCGGUCAGAACUCCACGAGAGAAAGAAAAACACAAGGCUUAAGAUGCUUUGCUCCAGGUGUGUGCUGCCUUCCCUGGCUAUUUACCUGCUGCUGCAGGAGACAUUUGCUGCCUCCCUGCCAAGCAGAUUCAGAAACAAAAGGGAGCUGAACUGGCAGGAGCAGGAGCUGCUUUGCUCGCUCUGAUCACUCGGACUUCGGCGACCUCUCUGUGGGUGAUGCCGGGAAAAUGGGCAGAAGGUCUCAUUCAGAGACCGUAGCCGCCCCAGCAGAACACCAGAACCAGAACCAGAACCAGAACCAGAACCAGUUUAACCGCAAAGCCCACGAAAAGAGGAGGAAAGUAGCUCCCAUGGAUUCCAUCGGCGGCUUUCAGAUGUCCAGUUUCCGUCACAGACAAGAUGAACCGGACGUCUACUGAAAAGAUGACAGGAAUUAGACUGAAAUUAUUGAACUACUUGUUUUUUUUCUUCCAAGUCCAACUCAUGUGUGAACUUUUGUGUAUCUUGAUAUUUAUUCAUCAGCUCCUAUUUAACUCAAUGCUGCACUAACAACUGAGCUGCCUGUCAACCAUCACCCUCUAGUGGUGGAAGAUAGACAUGACAAACACUUUGUGUGCAAAGAUCCAUAAAUAAAAAUCUGACA